UACGGGGGGGGCAAGCGUUGUUCGGAAUUACUGGGCGUAAAGGGCUCGUAGGCGGCCAACUAAGUCAGACGUGAAAUCCCUCGGCUUAACCGGGGAACUGCAUCUGAUACUGGAUGGCUUGAGAUUGGGAGAGGGAUGCGGAAUUCCAGGUGUAGCGGUGAAAUGCGUCGAUAUCAAGCGGAACACCAGUGGCGAAGGCGAGUCCCUGGACAACUCCUGACACUGAGGCACGAAAGCUAGGGGAGCAAACAGG
rnacentral:rRNA from 1 species